rnacentral:ncRNA from 1 species
AAGAUAGCAUCCGGGUGUUCGAUUUCUCCCAGUACAUCUCCCCCAGAUACAUGAUUGGACUGCUAUUAUGACAUCCAUCAUGCCUGCAGAGUGUGCUGGGGGGAAUGGAUCUGAGAAAUACCGGUGAACUUGAUCUGGAUAAUUCCAGCGGAAGGACAUGCUUCUUUAAAACUC